rnacentral:misc_RNA from 1 species
GAGAAGAACGUAGCGAAGUGCGAUAAGUAAUGUGAAUUGCAGAAUUCCGUGAAUCAUCGAAUCUUUGAACGCAAAUUGCACUCUCUGGUAUCCCGGGGAGUAUGCCUGUUUGAGGGUCAGUGUUAAUAAAAAUCGGUGCGUUGCACUUUAUUGUGACGUUCUGGAGUUUGGGUUAUCUUAACUUUUAGGUUAAGAGGCUUAAAAUUGACCUUUUUUUUGUGCAUUUUAGACGUACAUAAAUUUUCUUUUAUUUGUCUUUUAAUGCCAAAAUUAUAUUAGAUGCGACCAUAUCGUGUGGUUUCGUGUCUAUAAAUUUUUCAUGAUUUGACCUCAAAUCAGGUAGGAGUACCCGCUGAACUUAAGCAUAUCAAUAAGCGGAGGA